GUGCACAAUUCCAGCAAAGCCUCCCCAUAUUUAUUACUUGAUUAGUAAUAUUUUGCUGCUUUGAAUACUGUACUGUAUGCUUGCUCACUCUGUCCAGUAACUAACAUGGCUUUUUAAUUUUAGACAGGAAAGCCUCAGAGUGGGAAUCCUCACAAACACAGAGACCGAGGCACACCAGUACCAGCAGUCACUAAACAGGGAUGUUGUUCUGUUUUGCAAAAUAACAUUUAUUUUUUUAAGUUACUGUGCUUUUGUUGUUGGAAAUUUAAAAGAGCUGAGACUUAAUUUUAACUUAAAACAAAACUAAGGCAGGAGAGAAAAACGAAGAUGUUUUCAUGUAAGUAACGGCACCUGAGCACAUCACAUUAGAAGUUCAGAUAUACAGAGAUUAUAACACAAUAUCUACUGUAUGCGAAAUGUAAAAGGAAAAAAUGAUGCUACAUAUAAUGACAAUUAAGUUGGGGUUCUUUCAACAUCCAACAAAAAAACCACAGUAAUUAAAAAAAAUAUUAUUAGUCAGACUUUACUCUGAAGCAGACCUUUAUCUUAUGUGAUGGUUUACUUUGGUAAUGAUUGAUCUACAGGUGAACCAAGAAAGGAGGCAGAACAAGAAGUAAGACUACACUUUAUUAAUGUUUGAACUCUGUGAGUGAAUAUCUACUGUGUUUAUGUUUUUAACAGUUACAGUGAAGUAGAAGAGUCUGGCCGUGUUAUGUGGCAGCAGUUAAAGAAGAAGGACGGAGAGAUGUGUACCAUGUUGAAGUAGCGGCUGCCCCUCCUGCCCGGCACUUCUAGAAUCCUCCAUCUCAACCUCUGCUCUGAUCUGCUGUGCCUUUGCCAAGUGAUCACGAGUUUAUUGCAAUGGUGCCCCCCUGCGUCUCCACCGUCUGUUACAUCAACUCCAACUGCCUGUGAUAGAAGAAAAGUUCAGAAGAUGUCCUGAAAUGGAAUUGUGAUUGGAGUGGGAUGGCCACAAUAGGAAUGCUGGGAUGUGCAGAGGGGGCUGUGUGGGCUUUGGCUUGGGACCCCUAGGGAUUUAUUAUCUCCAGUGUCCUUGAAGGCUGCAAGUUUGUCUUUGUCCCUGGCCAUUUGACCAUGCAGUGUCUUUAUUACAAAGGACAAUGACCCCUCCAUUUGCUUCUCAUUUACUUUUAUAAUGCCUUCAAUUUUCUUUGUAACUGUAUAUUUUUGUAGAGCAAUUUGAGCAACACUUGUAAGCAAAGGUGAUAUAGAAAUAUUAUUAGUGAACAAAUGUUAAGGGCCAGAUCAGGAAAAAUGUCAGUUUAAAUAGAACACAUUUUUUAUGGAAUAUUGCAGGAUAAUAACUCUUUAACUCUGAGUAGCAUCUUGUUCAUAAAGCUAAAAUAGCAUUUUUCCUUUUUGACAAAUUUAAUGAUUCACUUUUACUUCAUUCAAAACCUUUGCUAACAUUUUUUUAAAUACUAAGGUAAAAAUCUGUAAAUAUAUUUGUGUUCUCCUUCCCUAAUAAUUUUUAACACCUCCCCUUGUUGGCCAUUUUCAUUGUAGUUGUGUUCUAGUUAAAUGCAUUUACCAUUUAUACAUCUUUCUGAUUACUGAAUUUUCUACUCAUAAUAUUUAUACAGUAUAUAUACAUGCAAAUAUGGGUGUGUGUAUAAUUUUUUUGUGAGAAACAUUGUUCAUAGAUUUUUCACUUUUGUUUUUAAACAUACCAUUUAUUUCUUCAAUAAAAAAUGUAUGAAUAAGUGUAUUGUAUUUCCUUUUCUAAAGUUAUAAAAAUGAACUGGCUCUGUAUCAAUAUGGGUGAAUAAAACCAUUGACAUGAGAUGAGUCUGCACACAAACAGCGGUGUGUUAUGUUGAUUAAACUUGUAAGAAAGAAUAUCACUGCCCUCUGUCCACAUGGUGUUCAUCAAAAACUGAACUAUUUCAUGCUGUUUAAAUUCUGCUCAGUUAGUGGAGAGUAUUUUAUUUUACAGCUGUUAAAUUCAGUUCAGUUUUAUUAUAUUAAUAGGUAAGCUGGUUUCUCAGGGGGUUUUACAGAGAUGCCUUGAAAUAACAUUAAAAACACAUCACUAAGAACAAACAUAUUACAAAUAUGAACUACAGCAGCAAGCACUUACUGUAAAAAUAGAUUGAUUCAAGUGAUAACUGCGCACUUCCUUAAUUUAAGUCUGUGGAUAUAAAGUUAAACAUCUUUGUAAGAUUAAUAGCCAUUGGAAUAAAUGAGGAUUUGAA